CUACGUGCCAGCAGCCGCGGUAAUACGUAGGUCCCGAGCGUUGUCCGGAUUUAUUGGGCGUAAAGCGAGCGCAGGCGGUUAGAUAAGUCUGAAGUUAAAGGCUGUGGCUUAACCAUAGUACGCUUUGGAAACUGUUUAACUUGAGUGCAAGAGGGGAGAGUGGAAUUCCAUGUGUAGCGGUGAAAUGCGUAGAUAUAUGGAGGAACACCGGUGGCGAAAGCGGCUCUCUGGCUUGUAACUGACGCUGAGAAGCGAAAGCAUAGGGAGCGAACAGGAUUAGAUACCCUGGUAGUCCAUGCCGUAAACGUUGGGCACUAGGUGUGGGGGACAUUCCACGUUUUCCGCGCCGUAGCUAACGCAUUAAGUGCCCCGCCUGGGGAGUACGGCCGCAAGGCUAAAACUCAAAGAAAUUGACGGGGGCCCGCACAAGCGGCGGAGCAUGCGGAUUAAUUCGAUGCAACGCGAAGAACCUUACCAAGGCU
rnacentral:rRNA from 1 species